rnacentral:rRNA from 1 species
GUUAGGAAUUUUGGGCAAUGGGCGAAAGCCUGACCCAGCAACGCCGCGUGGAGGACGAAGCCCCUCGGGGUGUAAACUCCUUUUCUGCGGGAAGAGGAAGGACGGUACCGCAGGAAUAAGCCUCGGCUAACUACGUGCCAGCAGCCGCGGUAAUACGUAGGAGGCGAGCGUUGUCCGGAUUUACUGGGCGUAAAGGGCGUGUAGGCGGCACGGCAAGUUGGGUGUGAAAGCCCCCGGCUCAACUGGGGAGGGUCACUCAAUACUGCCGGGCUUGAGGCCGGUAGGGGGAGACGGAAUUCCCGGUGUAGUGGUGAAAUGCGUAGAUAUCGGGAGGAACACCGAUGGCGAAAGCGGUCUCCUGGGCCGGUCCUGACGCUGAGGCGCGAAAGCGCGGGGAGCGAACCGGAUUAGAUACCCGAGUAGUCC